GCAGUAGCCACGGGAAUACGUAGGUGGCGAGCGUUGUCCGGAAUUAUUGGGCGUAAAGCGCGCGCAGGCGGCCUAUCCAGUCUGUCUUAAAAGUUCGGGGCUCAACCCCGUGAUGGGAAAGAAACUACAUGUCUUGAGUACAGGAGAGGAAAGCGGAAUUCCCAGUGUAGCGGUGAAAUGCGUAGAUAUUGGGAGGAACACCAGUGGCGAAGGCGGCUUCCUGGACUGCAACUGACGCUGAGGCUCGAAAGCCAGGGGAGCGAACGGGAUUAGAUACCCGCGUAGUCCCUGUCUCUUAUACA
rnacentral:rRNA from 1 species